CGCUCUUUGUAUAUUUAUUUAAGAUAAAGAGUCGGACCUGCCCAGUGACAUACGUGUUAAACGGCCGCGGUACUCUGACCGUGCAAAGGUAGCAUAAUCACUUGCCUUUUAAUUGGAGGCUUGUAUGAAUGGUUUGACGAGAACUAAGCUGUCUCCUUAUAAAUAUUUAGAAAUUAACUUGUAGGUGAAGAGGCCUACAUGUGUUUGAGGGACAAGAAGACCCUUUUGAGUUUUAGUGAAAUAAAAAAGCAUUUGUUAUUUUAUUUAAUAAAUUAAAAUAUCUUGAGUUAUGCGGGAAGGCAUAGAUUAGGUUUUUUAUUAAUCUUUAGUUGGGGCGACUGAGGAGCAUGAUGAGCUUCCUUUAAAUGUAUGAUGAUUGGCUGGUUAAUUUGAUCCAGUAUUUACUGGUUAAAGGAAAAAAUUACCAUAGGGAUAACAGCGUAAUCUUUUUGGAGAGUUCUUAUCGAAAAAAGGGUUUGCGACCUCGAUGUUGGACUAAGAUAUCCCAAAGGUGUAGAAGCUUUUGAGGGUUGGUCUGUUCGACCAUUAAAAUCUU
rnacentral:rRNA from 1 species